UACGUAGGAGGCAAGCGUUGUCCGGAAUUACUGGGCGUAAAGCGCGUGUAGGUGGUGGGACAAGUCUGCUGUGAAAGCGCCUGGCUUAACUUGGGAAUUGCGCUCGAAACUACGUGGCUGGAGUGUGGCAGAGGAAGGUGGAAUUCCAGGUGUAGCGGUGAAAUGCGUAGAGAUCUGGAGGAACACCGAUGGCGAAGGCAGCCUUCUGGGCCAACACUGACGCUCAUGCACGAAAGCGUGGGGAGCAAACAGG
rnacentral:rRNA from 1 species